rnacentral:rRNA from 1 species
AUUGAACGCUGGCGGCAGGCCUAACACAUGCAAGUCGAGCGGAUGAAGUGAGCUUGCUCCUGGAUUCAGCGGCGGACGGGGGAGUAAUGCCUAGGAAUCUUCCUGGUAGUGUGUGAUAACGUCCGGAAACGGGCGCUAAUACCGCAUACGUCCUGAGGGAGAAAGGGGGGGGUCUUCGGACCUCACGCUAGCAUAUGAGCCUAGGUCGGAUUAGUUAGGUGGCGGGUGAAAGGCCUACCAAUGCGACGAUCCGUAACUGGUCUGAGAGGAUGAUCAGUCACACUAGUACUGCGGCACGCUCCAGCCUCCUACGGCAGGCGGCAGUGGGGAAUAUUGGACGAGGAGGGAAAGCCUGAUCCAGCCAUGGUGAGUGUGUGAAGAACGUCUUCGGAUUCUAAAGCACUUCCAGUCGGGAGGUGGUGCAGUAAGUUAAUCCCUUGCUGUUUUGACGUUCCCAACAGAAUAAGCACCGGCUAACUUCGUG